UUGUGGCUUUAUUAAAAAAAACAAUACUCCUUAGAACAAAACCCUAGUUCCCCCCAGAUCUCAGAUCCGCUCCUAUCACUCUCUCACUCUCCGUUUCUCCCUUCUCACCCUCUCACUCAGACGACGCCAGCCUCCACCACGAACCGCCUCCACCGCUACAGCCGCCGACGCCGCCGUCGACGUUGCGUUGCCACUGCCUCCCCUGCGAAGACGCCGACGCUGCCACCACCUCUGGCCCAGCCCUCACCGUUGAAAGUCCCACUGCCUCGCCACUCACCAGUCUACCACGGUGCUGCGCUGCUGCCAGUCCACCGCCUCCCACUGCAUCGCCUCCGCCUGUCCGCCUCUGCCUCGGCCCUCGUCAGUCGCCUCGAGCCCUCGACACCAGCCACCGCCCACCAGGCACUACUUUAUGCAUAUCCAUUUGAUGUAGAGGCACAAAAGAAAAUUGAAGUAGCAAUCCGGCAGUAUAAUCUUGGGGAGCAUAAAUCUCAAGCUUUGGAUGAUAAAUUGCAGGCUUUGGACACAAAAGAAGAUGAAGUGUCAUAAAUCUCACUUGGUUUCUCAUUCAUCAUUUUUCAAGACAGGUUGGCACUUUAGAGAACAUUAUCAAGCACUCUCAGCUUGAGAUCAUUGAGCUUAAACAUUCACUAGAAGAGCAAAGGUACCUUCUGUUCAUCUUUGGUUGUAUUGGCUUGAUGCUAUAUGAUUAAAGAGUAAACUCCAUAAUUCUAUGAGGAUUCUGUCAUGAAUAUCUCAACAGAAAAACCAGUG